CAGGAAGUAGUUUAUUUUAAAAUAUUAAUUUUGGAGAUUAAUGAAAGAUAGUUAAUUUUCUUUCUGA
rnacentral:tRNA from 2 species